rnacentral:RNase_P_RNA from 1 species
GGAGUGAGUCGGGCGGUCGCUGGUGACUUCGGUUGCUGGAGGAAAGUCCGGGCUCCACAGGAGACGGUGGUGGGUAACGCCCACCGUUCGUGAGAAUAGGGAAAGUGCAGCAGAGAACAGACCGCCGAUGGCCCCGGCAUGAAAGUGUCGGGGCACAGGUAAGGGUGAAACGGUGCGGUAAGAGCGCACCAGCGGAAUGGGUGACCAUGCCGGCUUGGUAAACCCCACCGGGAGCAAGAUCAAGCAGAGAGAAGCGGCUUGCCGCACGGUUUUUCCGAACCGUCCGACUCUCGGGUCGAUCGCGUCGAGGGGACUGGCAACAGUCCUCCCAGAGAAAUGACCGUCCACGACAAAACCCGGCUUACAGACUCACUCCGUUU